UCUCUCCCCACCGAAAACCACCGUGAAAAAGUCCGUGGCGACCGUGGCUCCGGCACAGAAACGACAACCUUCCUCUUCAAAACAACAA
rnacentral:ribozyme from 13 species